CCUACGGGAGGCAGCAGUGAGGAAUAUUGGUCAAUGGACGCAAGGCUGAACCAGCCAUGCCGCGUGCAGGAAGACGGCUCUAUGAGUUGUAAACUGCUUUUGUACGAGGGUAAACGCAGAUACGCGUAUCUGUCUGAAAGUAUCGUACGAAUAAGGAUCGGCUAACUCCGUGCCAGCAGCCGCGGUAAUACGGAGGAUUCAAGCGUUAUCCGGAUUUAUUGGGUUUAAAGGGUGCGUAGGCGGUUGGAUAAGUUAGAGGUGAAAUCCCGAGGCUCAACUUCGGAAUUGCCUUUGAUACUGUUCGGCUAGAGAAUAGUUGCGGUAGGCGGAAUGUAUGGUGUAGCGGUGAAAUGCUUAGAGAUCAUACAGAACACCGAUUGCGAAGGCAGCUUACCAAGCUACUUCUGACGUUGAGGCACGAAAGCGUGGGGAGCAAACAGGAUUAGAUACCCCAGUAGUC
rnacentral:rRNA from 1 species